rnacentral:rRNA from 1 species
GAUGAACGCUGGCGGCGUGCCUAAUACAUGCAAGUCGAGCGCACGGACUAGAAGCUUGUUUCUCUGAUGUUAGCGGCGGACGGGUGAGUAACACGUGGAUAACCUACCUAUAAGACUGGGAUAACUUCGGGAAACCGGAGCUAAUACCGGAUAAUAUUUUGAACCGCAUGGUUCAAAAGAGAAAGACGGUCUUGCUGUCCCUUAUCGAUGGAUCCGCGCUGCAUUAGCUAGUUGGUAAGGUAACGGCUUACCAAGGCAACGAUGCAUAGCCGACCUGAGAGGGUGUUCGGCCACACUGGAACUGAGACACGGUCCAGACUCCUACGGGAGGCAGCAGUAGGGAAUCUUGCGCAUUGGGCGAAGGCCUGACGGAGCAACGCCGCGGUGGUGAGGAAGGUCUUCGGAUCGGAAAACUCUGUUAUCAGGGAAGAACAUAUGUGUAAGGAACUGGGCACAUCUUGACGGUACCUAAUCAGAAAGCCACGGCUAACUACGUG